rnacentral:lncRNA from 1 species
AGACGGGCGGCUGCGGGAGGGGAGGCUGGACCAAGGGGCCUGGUCCACCGGACCAGCGGUGGCGGCAUCGGCAUCUCGCCUCCUUCAGGCCUGCACGCGCCACAGGCCGCAGCCUGGACCAACCCCGCGUCCCCGGGCCGUGAGCGCUGCGGUCCCGGCCCCCCAGAGCGGGACGCCGGGCGGCCGCAGCCCCCCGGACCCGGCUCUCCGCCCGCUCCGCCCGCAGUCCCGGCGCGGAGAGCGGCCGCCCGAGCCGCUGCCGCGGCAGCGCGGGUGUCGGCGACGGAGCCCGGGGCGGGGAAGAGCGGAGGAAGGGGCGGCGAGGGGGCGGGCCGGCGGCGGCCAGGGAGGUCGGAGUGCGCGGGGCUCGGCACCCCCUCGGCCCGCGCUGCGCCAGCACCACCUGCGGAGCUGCGGUGCCCACGCCGUGCCGCGACCCCGCCGCCCCUGCUCCCUCCACACGCGGGCAAACAAAACAAGUUGCCGGUCGCUGCCGCCGGAGGGGGCCGGGCGGGUCACUCACCCUCAUCCUGCUCAGCGGGCUUGGGUCGUCCGGCCGCGGGGUCAGGGAAGACCAGAGGACCACUAGCCCCAGGAAGCUUCCCACCACCAGCAAACUGCGUGGUGAAUUUGUAACCGAAAGGCCCAGGUGAGAUGUGCAAAUAUCACUGGAUUGGAGGAGCUCACUUGGAAAGCCAGUAUUCCUCCUGAGCUAAUGAAAAGAAAGGCUGUCGUCUUAUGCCAAAAGCAAUACCAACCUUGUUCACGGGCUGAGACGGGGUCUAUUAUCUGGUCCUGUUGUCAAGGCUGGUCUCAAACUCCUGGCCUCCAGCGAUCCUCCCUUUUUGGCCUCCCAAGAUGCUGGUAUUACAGGCAUGAGCCACCAUGGUCCACCCGGACUCCUUUUCAUAGGAGACAGUUCCCUAGGCAGAGACUGGGCUUGAAACAGGUAACUUACAAGGCAUCCUGUGAUCAUAAGAGAAUAAUUCCAUUUGAAAUCAGCAGCUGAAGUCCACCUGAAUAAUUAAGUCUUUCACUUGUGUUAUUUUCACAGGGGAGACAGUUUUUUAUUCUUAAGAAGGUAGGAAGCUUUAUUUUUACUGUUAUGAGCAUAGCUGGGCAAGUAUGCAAAUGGAAAGUGAUACCUAUCAUCAAAGUAUUGAGGAUGGUCCUUUGAAGGCCCUAGUAUUCUGAGAACAUCCUGCCACCACUACCACCCCCCAACUUUAGUUUUACACAGAGAACUUAAAAUAUGUGUGAAAGAGUAUAUAGUUAUACAGUUGUAUAUUGAUGAAUAGGUAUAUAGUUGUAAAAGUUUAUGUUUCUCUGAGUCUUAAUAACUUUUAAAAGAAACUGCAAGUAAACUAACACAGGAACAGAAAACGAAAUAUUGCAUGUUCUCACUUAUAAGUGGGAGCUAAAUGAUGAGAACACAUGGACACAUAGAGGGGAACAACACACACUGGGGCCUAUUGGAGGGUGGAGGGUGGGAGGAGGGAGAGGAUCAGGAAAAAUAACUAAUGUGGGUACUAGGCUUAAUACCUGGGUGAUGAAAUAAUCUGUACAAACCCCCAUAACACAAGUUUACCUAUGUACCAAACCUGCACAUGUACCCCUGAACUUAAAAGUUUAAAAAAAGUGCAAAUAUACCUUAAAACAUAUGCCCAUUGCAGUAUUUGCUGGGAGGCAGCCUUUGUAGGGUUGACAGAACUCGUUUAGAAAAUGAGGAGCUACAUUCAAAGCUUCAGUCAAGAUAAAUCACGUACCUCUCUGAACCUAGGGCUUUUAUCUGCCAAAUAGUGAUUACAAUACUCAACCUUAUGAUGUUCUCAAAAGGAAUAAUUGAGAUCAAGUACAUAUACAAAUAUAAAGUACAAUUAGUGUAAUGGAACAAGUCUCAGGUGCGUGUGGCUAUAAUUCUUGUUUUAUGAAUGCUGCAGUUCCUCUAAAGAAGAGGGUAGAGACUAGAACUGAAUGAGAUGGACAUAGAGAUGGCCAAGAAAAGCAUCGUCCUCUGCCAAGUCAUGGGGUCAUGUGUGGUGGAUGGUGACAUGGUGUCCUCAGCUCAGAGUCCAGCUGGGGGCUCAGAAGCAAGGUAACUGAAGGGAGAGAAUUAUUUGAGCACCUAGUGUGUGUAAGAUGCUUCACAUUUAUUAUUUCACCUAACCUCUACACAACCUGUUGUGGGUAUUACUGGUCUCAAGCUGGGAUUCAAAGCAGGUUUUUCCAACCUCAGAAUUCUUGCCAGACUGAUUAGCCUUCUGCAUCUGGAACAUAAAUGUUUUCAGGCAGCAUAAUGUGCAAGAGGUCAGAGCCUAAAGCUUUGUUAUUUUUUAAUUUCUCCACCAUGUCAACUCUGUUACAGGGAAGCCCAGCAGAGGGAAUUGUAUCCAUUUUGGGGCUACACUACCCCAAUGCUAUGCUGCAGCCAAGCUGAACUUCUAAGUUUCUAAAUGUAACUCACUUACCUUCAGGCCUUUGUACGGGGAGUUCUUUUUGCCUGAAAUACCUUCUGACAUCUUAACAUUACGCUUAGAUGUCAGUUACAAAAAAGCUUUUUCUAGACUCUCUCACAUGUCCCACUCCACACCCCUAUAUCUCUUCCCACCAAUGUACUAGGGUAGGUAUCCUGCUAGGUACUUCCACUGCACCCUCUACUUUUCUUCCCUAAUGAUUACCACUAUAUUGUAAUUGCUUAAUUUCUUUUUCCUAUACCCAGAUAAAAAUGUGUAUGAAGGUGGAGCCUUGUCUAUCUAGUUCGUUAUUGUUAUCCGUGUCUGGUAUGUGGAAAGGGCUCAGUGAGUAUUUCUUGAUGGAAUGCUGAAUGAAUAAUGGGAUUGAAAAUAUAAAAGGCAGACAAAACUUAGAAGAGGGGCCAGGUUUACUUCAAUUGCUAUUCCUCCUCACUGGGAGGUUUUUCUUCCAAGGACAAAACUUUGGAGGUUUUAUUAAAUUAGAAAAGUGAUUAUUUUACAUAUGGUCAUCAUCAUCAAUUGAUAGGCUGUUGUUUCCCCCUUACUCAGCAUCCUACUAAGGCUGCUUAGAACUAAGAAGAAAGGGUAAUUUUAAUUUAAGUUCAUAUUUUUGUAUGUACGGAGAUUUAAAAAAAACAGCUACAUUAAAAUGGGAAUAUGUAGCCAUAGGGAAUUAUUUGCAAACAAAUUUCAGUAUUAUCUAUGUGUGGUUGCCAAGAACUCAGGUUAAAUUAGAGUCAGUGACCUCUAAAUGACUAAAUAUCCUAUCACCUAUUCUAUAAGCCAUUUAAUCACCUCUUUUCAAAGAAGAAGAGCACAAUUGGUAGUAUCUUUAAAGGAAGAUACAUUUUAUUGUUUAGAAAAUAACUACUAUUUAGAUAUCAAGGGAAGCAUAGUGUAAGUUUGUUAAGAAUUUAUUAAUUUUGUGUACUGUUCAUUAGUUACCUCUUACUGCUUAACAAAUGACUCCAAAGUUUAGCACUUUCAAACAACAAACAUUUACUUCACACAGUUCCUGAAGUCAGGAAUCUAAGAGUGGCUUAACAAGGUGGUCUGGCUCAGGGUCUCUCAUGAGGUUCUUACCAAACUAUCAGCUGGGACCACUAUCAUAACCAACUGGGCCUGGAGAAUUUGCUGUCAAGUUCACCCACAUGGCCAGCAGGCAGGCCUCAGUUCCUCACUGGCAGGCGGUGGGAGGCUUCAGUUCCUUGUCACCUGGGCUUCUCCACAGGGCUACUCAUGACAUGCCAAGCUGACUUCCCCCCUUCAUGAAAGAUCUGAGGGAGAGAGAGCCCAAGGCAGAAUCCACAGUCUUGUAUAAGAAAUAAUCUGUAUACUGCCUUCAUCUGUAAAAUGAAGGUGUUGGACCAAAUGAUCUUUAACAUUCUUUCCAAUACUGAAAUUCUGAGAUUUUCCUAUGAUGCCGAUGUGUGAUUGAGACUAAUUUGUGCUUUCAUGUGGAAUACUAUGAGGUAAAAUCCUGCCUUUGUACUUUUUUUCUGACAUGGGGUACUAUUUCUAUCAUAAGCUUGAGAUGGAUAAUUCCUGAGUUGUGCUCAUCUGGAAUAAAGGACUGUUGUCAAGGGCUUCCAUUUAAUGAGGUUAAGGGUCUCCUACAGUGUUUGGAAAGCAAAAAUAUUUAUGUAAAAGCCCUCAGAUUUCACAUCGUAGAACACUACCUCUUCAUAAUUUGGUACUGUUUUUGGACUCCCAUAAUUCAGAAGUGCUCUUCUGAUCUAACCAUUUAUUUAAGAGGUGAUUGAAACGGAUUUUGUCUCUUACCACUCUUGUUUAAAACCUCUUCAACAGCUUCCCAUUGCUCUUAUAUUUAAGCCCAAAUUCCUCCAUUUAUUACAAAGCCUUUGUGAGCUUGCCUCUGCUUACCUCUGCAGCCCCAUGGCUGGUCAGUUAUCCCCUCUUUUGCAACUUAAACUAUAGCCAUGUUGAUUUUCUCUCCAUUUCUGAAAUAGGCUAACUUCCCUCUCACUUCUAGACCUUGUGUGUGUUAUUCUCUCGCUUAGAACACUCUGUGGUUCUUACACCAACCCCUCUCCCAUGAACUCCCUGAUAAUCCUUCAGAUUUCAAUUUAUACAUCAGUUCUUUCAGAAACCUCUAAUUGUCUUCAGUCCCCGAUCCCACUGCUAGGUUAGAAGACCCUCCUUCAUGCUCUCAAAGCACCCUGUAAGUUCUCCCUCAGAGCAUAUAGACCAAGUUUCUUUUCUUUUCUUUUCUUUUCUUUUCUUUUCUUUUUUUUUUUUAGACGUAGUCUUGCUCUGUUGCCAGGCUGGAGUGCAGUGGCCCCAUCUCAGCUCACUGCAACCUCUACCUCCCGGGUUCAAGCGAUUCUCCUGCCUCAGCCUCCCGAGUAGCUGGGACUAUAGGCAUGCGCCACCACCCAUCUAAUUUUUGUAUUUUCAGUGGAGAUGGUGUUUCACCGUGUUGGCCAGGAUGGUCUCAAUCUCUUGAACUCAUGAUCCGCCCGCCUUGGCCUCCCAAAGUGCUGGGAUUACAGGCAUGAGCCACCGCGCCUGGCCUAGACCAAGUUCCUUAAGGGCAAGGACCAUGUUCGAAUUUGGCAUUGUGUCUCUAGAUGUUGACCAUGCUUGGCACAGAAGAGAUGCUCAGUAUUAAGAGACUGAACAAGUGAAAAUAUAUUUCCUGUGUUCACUGUUAAGCGUGGGGAAAAAGGAGUUGCAUAAGUAAAAAUACUAAUUUAAAAGCCCUCAGAUUUCACAGUGUGGAACACCACCUCUUCAUAAUUUGGUACUGUUUUUGGACUUCUAUAAUUCGGUAGUCUUCUUAUUUAAGAAGCAUUCUUUAAUAGCUCUUAAAAUAUGAUAAUAUCUAAAUGAUUUGCAGAAGCAUUUUAUAGGUAGAUGGUUUUGCCUUUAUUUGGGUGUUGGGGAAGAAGGGUACAGUAUUCUACAUUUUACCUGACCAAAAAGAGUACUGUAAUUCCUAGAUAAUAAACUGAUAGCUAUUUGAAACUGCCUGUUGGCUCACUGAAGGGAAAAUGCAUUGCCCACAACCUCAUAUCUUUCAUGUGGGAACCCAGUACCUAUAAGACAAACUGGCCUCUCUCUGUUACUAUUGAUAAUCUCUUAGAGCAUAACUUCUAAAUAAUGGGUGGAAUGGAAAGGAACUCUGUCAGUGAAAGGGCUAGAGAACCUGCCCUGCUAUAUGCAGAUUAAGAGAUUUGGCUAGACUCAAAUUUCUAAUUUCCUUUAAAAUGCUCAAAUUUCUUAAAACUAGGGUAUGAAAUGCACUGAAGAAAGACUCAGGUUCUCAGCAGUGUGGUUAGUUAAAUGACCUGAAAGUCUUCAAAACUGGUAUUUAUCAAGGUAUUACUGUAAGUCGUCUUACAGUCUGUGCACAUAAACCUCUCCACCAGCAAGCAGACUAGUUUCAGACAGUUAUCAAUCUGUUAUCACAUCCUUCCAGAGAUCCUGAUUAUCUAGCUAUGCCUAGAACCUGACAUUCUUUAUUGUGGGAACCUAUAAGACAAACUAGCCUCUCUCUUGUUAAUACUGAUUAUCUCUUAGAGCAUAACUUAGACACAACAGGGGUGGAAUAGAAAGAAACUAUGUCAGUGAAAAGGCCAGAUAACCCAUGCUGCCAUAUGUAAAAUGAGAGGUUUGGCUAAACCACAUUGGGCAUAGCUGGAUAAGCAGGAUCCCUGGAGGUGUGUGAAGAUGUGUGGACAGGAGAAAAAAGUCGGAGAGGAGGGGACAUUCCUGUGCUUGACUAUCUUCUGAACGUUUUUUGAUUAAUUUGUAUAAAAUUGGGUUAUUUUAGUAAUGGAGUAUGUCUUCAAGCCUUUUUAGGCAUUUGAGACAUAAACAGUUACACACAAAUAAAGGAACUGAGGUUCAGACUACAGAGAGAUGAUGCGAGAGAUUCUCCCAAAUGAUCCAGGAAUUAAGAGGCUGGACAGGGACUAGAGAUCUGUUAAUUCCAAACCUUUUACUUCCCAACUAUGCCAUCUUGCUAAUGUCCAGAAAUUUCAUCCUUUCUUUAGUUUGUAACAACUGAACAAUGACAAGUACAUUUUCUCUUUUAUUUGAACAUGUGGCUCUGUAUUAAAUGACUAUUUGGAGAGCCACAACAGAGUUGUGAGCUAAGAGUGCUGAUCUUCAGGGGAGCUCAAAAUACUGCCAUUUAGGUAAAUGUACCUUUUAUCAUACUGCAAAGAGUUAUGAAAUUUGAAUUUUAAUUACAUUUCUUUUUUGGAGAGUGAUCUUUGAGGACUUGGUUUUGUGGGAUAACUUCUUUUUUCAAACCAUAUAAAAUUAUUUUUAACAAAUGGCAUCCUUUUGUAUAAUCUUUUCUUGUAUAUUUUUAGAUAUUUCUAUUCAACAUUUUUUGAGCUUGUGUCACGUGCUAUUCAUUGUUCUAGAUGCUGGAAAUACAGCAGUAAACUAAAAGCCAAAAUCCUUGUCCCCAUAGAGUCAGACAAUAAGCCAAAUAUGUAUAUUAUUACAUACUGUUAUUGAAUAAACUGCUGUAUCACCAUGUGCCAAGCCUUAUUCUAAGAGUAUACAAAGAUUAACUCAUUCAUUUAGAUAGCAUGUUAGAAGAUAAAUGCAAUGGAGAGAAAUAAGCCAGGGAAAUGGAAUGUGGAAUGCUGGAGAGGGGUGAGGGGAGGAUUCCAUUUUACACAGUCUGAGAAGAUAAUAUGUGAACAAGACCUGGAGAUGAGGGCACAGCCAAAUGGGUAUCUGAAGGGAGAUGGCUCCAAGCACAAGGAGCAGCAAAUGUGAGGCCUUGAGGCAAGAAUGUUCCUGCUUGUUUGAGGAAAAGCAAGGACAUAAGGACAGCUGUAGCUAAGAAAGUGAAGGGAGAGCAUUAGAUCAUAGUAAAGACUGUGGCACUUAUUUAGAGUGACAGGGGAAGCCAUCGGAGAGUUUGGUGCAGAGGUGGUGUCAUCUAACUUACAUCUAAAUAGGAUCACAGCCUCUGGCUUCUGGGUUUGGUUUGGAAAAGAAAAAGAUAAAAGCAAGUAUCAGUUAGGAGGCCAUUGUGAUAGCAUAGAGUAGGUUUGUAACAGUAGAGGUGGGUAGAAUAUGUCAGAAUGGGGAUAUAUUUUGAUUAUUCUUCAGCUAUUAUGAUUCCAACUAAUUAGGCUUGUUGUUUUGGUUCCUGGCUCUCUAUAAGUAGUUAAAUUAAUAACAUGUAAAGCAAACUCGAAAUGCUCUGGCAUCACACAUUAUUUAAAUAAACUGUGCAAGCGAUUAGUUGGCAUUUUGUUAAACAUCUUUGUUUAGAUUUUCAUGUAUCAAAUAAUAUAAUAUUUUCUUUUCCUUU